AUUGAACGCUGGCGGCAGGCCUAACACAUGCAAGUCGAGCGGAUGCAGCGAGCUUGCUCCUGCAUUCAGCGGCGGACGGGUGAGUAAUGCCUAGGAAUCUGCCUGUUCGCGGGGGAUAACGUCCUGAUACGGGCGCUAAUACCGCAUACGUCCAGAGGGCGCAAGUGGGGGAUCUUCGGACCUCACGCUAUCAGAUGAGCCUAGGUCGGUUUAGCUAGUUGGUGGGGUAAAGGCCUACCAAGGCGACGAUCCGUAACUGGUCUGAGAGGAUGACCAGGCACACUGGAACUGAGAAACAGUACAGACUCCGACAGGAGGCAGCAGUGGGGAAUAUUGGGCAAUGGGGGAAAGGCUGAUCCAGGCAAGCCGGGGGUGGGAAGAAGGUCUUAGGAUUGGAAAGCAAUUUAAGUUGGGAGGAAGGACAGUAAGUUAAUACCUUACGGUUUUGACGUUACCAACAGAAUAAGCACCGGCUAACUUCGUG
rnacentral:rRNA from 1 species